rnacentral:lncRNA from 1 species
CUUUUAUAAACUAUUUGUUUCUAAUGAACUGAUAUGAUUUGGAAUAAAAACUAAAGCAACUAAACUUUUUUUCUCUCUUCUGCCUAUUUGCAACUUAGCCUUGUAAAUACAUAACCUUUCUGUUUCAGAUUUAGAUGUGCUAAUAAAUUCCCCUACAAUUUCGUGUGUAGCUUUCUUUGAAGAGGUAAGUAAUUUGCUACUAUUUUUACACAUUUGAUUCAGUCUCAGAAAUAUAAUACUGUUUGAGCCUGUGAGAUUCCUACUUGGCUCCUAGGACUUGCAUCUGCCUUUCCUGGGGCUUUCUGGUCAUCCUCCCUUUCUGAUUCUUAUUCCACUUAAGUGAAACUACUCAUUCCUGAACUUUAAACACUCAUAUUGAGAGGGGAAGGAGAGAGAGAGAGAAGGUAAGUUAUUUCAAAUUACUCUUGGCCUCCAUUCAACAGUUCUGAUAGACCCAGAUAUUUAUUUUGGGUCCUGGACAAGUCAGGACCUGAAUAUGUCAUAAUUGGCCAUGUGAGAUUGAUCUCAGACUUAGUCUGUGCUUUGUUUUCUCUUCCUUUUUAAAGAGGGCCAAGAUGACAAGUGAGAGGGAGUAACAUAACCUGUUGCCCUUUGAUUUCCCUCCUACUGCUGCUUCCCUUGGUAAAAACAACAAAAACAAGGGAGUACGAUCUGUGCCAUGCACUUAGGGAGUCUUAAUGGAUUGGAGCAGAUGAUUCAAUGUACUUUCCAUUUUUGAGAUCCAAUAAAAUCUAUGAAACCGUAACUUUGUUUGCAAGAAAAUGUGAUCUCCUCUCCUGGAGUUACAAUAAGGAAGAGAACUAUAGAAGCUGAAUUUCACAAACCUGUAUGUGGCUCUGCUUCCAUUUCCGGUGAGGUAACUGAGAUGCAUCGGAUAAGGGGUCAGGUGUAGAACAACAGCACAGAUUGCCUGAGAAAUUUGAAGGAAAACCAGAUUCUCAUAUCCUGACACAUGACACUGGAUCUCUUUCCAUUUCCUUCAUGAAACGUUUUCUGUCCUCUAAGAAGCUGAGGAUUUCUUGAGCCCCUUGUCUUGACGUGGAUUGUGUUCUUACGGGAAACGUUUUGAACACACAGUAAGGGAAGCUCCUCUUUGCAUCUUCACCUUUGCUCUCUCCCGGCAUCCGGGGCAUCUCAGCAGAGAGGAGGAGAGACAAGGUUUUUACAACAGGAACGUCAAGAGGAAAGAGUCAGUAUUCAGUCUCUGACAUCCAAUUACAUGAUUUGGGAUCAACAGCAGCACAAUAGAUUUUGAAAGCCAGGUUUUGUGAGGACAAAAGGAUUUCCUAAAUGCCUUUAUGUUCCUUUUCAACAAAAAUGAAGCAGGUCAGGUGAACUCAGGAGCUGAAUUUCUUCAAAACUGUAGGAAGAUGUGACUUCUUUUCCCUGAGAACACGAGGCUGGCUGUGUGAGGUGAGAGGAGCGGAGGAAGUGAAAAUCCCACAGGCCACCCCAAGCCUGGGGCCCUGGUGAGUGCUUGGUAACUUCUUACCCACCUGACCUGCAGACACUCCCGGUGAGAGCACAGUCGGAGGGCUUUCCCAUCCUGGUGACUCUGGGCAUUCUGGGCUAAAUUUCUAGCAUUCUGGGCUAAAUUUCUCCUCAUUGAAGUAUGAAUUCAGGAAGUCAGAAAAAUCCAAAACAGAUCAUCCACCCACAAUCUCACUCCUCAGCUUGAAACUCCAAAUUUGGAAAAUGGUCGGAAUUCAUUCCCACUUUGUUUACAUCCUGUGUGUCUGUUUCAGGCUGAUUUUCCUGCAGCUGUGACCCAAACUCUGUGCUAUUAUAUUCUGAAGAUAUAAACUUGGUCCUCUUCCAGGGCCAC